rnacentral:rRNA from 1 species
AGGAUGAACGUUGGCGGCGUGCCUAAUACAUGCAAGUCGAACGAAGACUGUAGUAAUACUGUCUUAGUGGCGAACGGGUGAGUAACGCGUGGGUGACCUGCCCCCGAAGUGUGGGAUAACAGUCCGAAAGGAUUGCUAAUACUGCCAUAAUAUCCAAGAGAUUAGAUGCUUUUGGAUUAAAGGAGUAAUUCGCUUCGGGAGGGGCCCGCGUCCCAUCAGCUAGUUGGUAAGGUAAUGGCUUACCAAGGCGAUGACGGGUAGGGGACCUGAGAGGGUCGGCCCCCCACAAUGGAACUGAAACACGGUCCAUACACCUACGGGUGGCAGCAGUAGGGAAUAUUAGUAAUGGGCGAAAGCCUGAACUAGCAACGCCGCGUGUGCGAAGAAGGCCUUCGGGUCGUAAAGCACUUUUGAGAGGAUGAGGAAGGACGGUACUCUCAGAAUAAGUCUCGGCUAACUACGUG